rnacentral:rRNA from 1 species
ACAACUUUCAACAAUGGAUCUCUUGGUUCUGGCAUCGAUGAAGACCGCAGCU